GCGAAAGCGUGUAACAAUUGCACACGCACACACACCACUCACACGCACUCGCCGCCCGCCCGCUCGCACAGCGCUGGAACACGCGCGCCCAGACACGCACACACGCACGCACACACACUCGCACACACGCAGAGGCACGGGGGGGAAAAGCCGAUGAAUAAUUUUGCUGCUAUUUUUUUAAAUACUGGCCGCCAUCAUCAAGCAGCGAGCAGCAGCAGCAGCGUUGAAGGGAGAGGAGGCAUCGGGACAGGCCCCUCUUAAGAGAGGAUUUAUAUCUAGAAGAACUCCAAGAUUAAAAGCAUCCUCCUUAUUUGUUGCUGAGUUGCUCGUCGACAUAUAAGAAAAGGAUUCCCUCCAAGUCUGAUAGGAAAGACAGGGCCACUUCUGGAUAAGCUGUAAGGAUGCGUUUUCAUUUCCACAACAUUGAAGCACUUUUUAUAAACCUUGUAUUGUACUUAAAUAAAUCUAUCUGGACAUGAAGAGAAGUGACUCAUACAACGAUAGCUUGGCUUUGUGCUGUCAAUCCUAGCAUUAAAAAAAAAAAAAAAUCCAGAAUCCUCAUGAAAAGCUUUUCCAUAUCCACUCAUUUCUCAAAACAAACAAACAAACAACUAAAAACAAGAAAAACUAGAAAAGCAAAAGAAAGUUUACUGUAUGCAUCUGGGUGUCUUCUCGCGCAUUUAAAAAUGUCUCCCAGCCCGGCUUGCUGUGUUGCCUCCCUCCUGCCACACACUCUAAGGCAGAGGCAUCGAGGGAUCGCCCCCAGAGAGUUGUGUUUACUUAGGUUUUUUUAAUCUCUCCACCAUGUAUGACAAGUGUUACUUCAAGAAAUUCAUCAGCCUUCUACAGAUACUUCCAGGUUUUGCUGUAAUGAUCUGCAGAAGAGAACUGCCAUCACUUUCUCACAUCCCAAGGUGUUGCAGGAACUCAGAGAAAGGGGAGAGUGGCUGAAACGCUUAAUUACAGUGGGGGAGGGAGGAGCGCAAGGCGGGGACCGAGGGAGGAGGGAAAGGAGGAAGAUCCUUUACCUAGCCUAUACCUGGAGAGAGCUCUGAAUCCUCUCAGUGGAAAUUUGGGAAAGGUAUUGUUGCCUUUUUUUUUUUUUAAUGCCUUUGGGGAGAAGUGAUACCCUUGUGUAACA